GUGCUACUGGGGGGAACUUGUGUUUUCUACAGGUAAGGCAGGUGCUUUUCCCAGGGCGGGGCUUAGCCACUGCACUGCGGGCCUGUUCGCCCCUGCGAUGUCCCCCGUGUGGGAAACGCGACCACAUCAUUUGUGUGGUAGUGUGGCACUGUGUGCACGCUUUCUCCUG